ensembl:lncRNA
GCCACUAGGUGGCGCAAUCGGGUUUCACCUUCAGUCUGACUUCCUCGGCUGCUUGACAGAUCCUGCAAAUGAUUUAGUCUUAAAAGCUGUUAAUGUCUCAUCUUUUAGCUCAUCUGCAAACAAAGCCGACGCACAGUAUGAUAAAACGAGUGUCACGCGACUCACCUAAGAAGUGAUGUGUUGUUGGUUGGAAGCAGAGCUCUGGACGUGUGGACAGAUGUUGACUGUAAUGAUGGACAUCUGCUCAUGGACAGCGUGUCCAAAAGUAUAACCGCUGCGGGUCACAGUGCUGGAAGCUCCAGGGGGAGACCGUACUGAUAUCCCCCUUCUUCAGGCGCGCCUUCACACACACUCCUCCAUUCACUCGUAUCGCAGAGACCUGGCUGGGAUCGAACCAGCAACCUCUGAACCGUGAGGCAGCGCUCUUACCUGUGAGCCACAGAUCUCUUGCUGGAGCACUUGAAGGAACUUAUAUUUCACUGUUUACCUGUGAUUACCCAAUAAAGAUGUUAAAGUGAGCUGUGUUUGUGAUUUUUGGAGGUGGGAUUUGAACCCAUGUCUCCAUCACAGUCUCACCCUCAAAGAGAGUGUGUUUAUCCACUAACCCAUCACGGAUUUCAUGCUGUGCUUUGCCGUUUGAGUGACUUUGUUGGCUGAGAUGGAUUUAAAGUAAGCAAUAGUGGGAUUUGAACUCAGAGCUCCUGAAUUAAAACGCAGAGCUUUAUCUCCUGAGCCACUGAGUCUGUCGAGUCAAUUAGCAUUUCGAACAGGCUUUUAUUGAGAGAUUUGUUCUAAAUGAUUAAUAAAUUUAAUGAUUGUGGGAUUUGAACCUUGACU